rfam:Cucumis melo, WGS project CAJI01000000 data, contig: 14911
ACACCGGCGGUCUCUAAUUCGCUUGGUGCAGGUCGGGAACCGCUUCGCUCAGCCUACGGUUUACGUUUUGUCGUUGGCCGGUCCUUCUUCAUUUUCCUUUUUUGUUCUUCUCUGCUUUUGUUUUUUGCUUAAUUUCUUUGCCGCUGUGCGGUGUUAUCUUGUUGCGAAAAUGUGUGGGCGAAUUGGAUCCCGCCUUGCAUCAACUGAAUCGGAAACCGUGGUGAAG